GAUGAACGCUGGCGGCGUGCUUAACACAUGCAAGUCGAACGGUGAACCCGGAGCUUGCUCUGUGGGAUCAGUGGCGAACGGGUGAGUAACACGUGAGCAACCUGCCCCUGACUCUGGGAUAAGCGCUGGAAACGGCGUCUAAUACUCGAUAUGUGACGUGACCGCAUGGUCUGCGUUUGGAAAGAUUUUUCGGUUGGGGAUGGGCUCGCGGCCUAUCAGCUUGUUGGUGAGGUAAUGGCUCACCAAGGCGUCGACGGGUAGCCGGCCUGAGAGGGUGACCGGCCACACUGGGACUGAGACACGGCCCAGACUCCUACGGGAGGCAGCAGUGGGGAAUAUUGCACAAUGGGCGCAAGCCUGAUGCAGCAACGCCGCGUGAGGGAUGACGGCCUUCGGGUUGUAAACCUCUUUUAGCAGGGAAGAAGCGAAAGUGACGGUACCUGCAGAAAAAGCGCCGGCUAACUACGUG
rnacentral:rRNA from 1 species